GCCCACCUUGCCUUUAACAUUGAUCCUAUAUAUAAUGAAUUAACAUAGCUAACUUGAUUAUGUUGCUAGUCAAGUAUGGGACCUAUGGGUCUUCUAGAUCCUAGAGUAGCACAAUUAAUAUAAAUUCUCCGUAAGGCGGUAAUAUUAAUUAAGACUGUUCUUAUUUAUGCAUGACCUUUGACUAUUAAGUGGCCAAAAAUUGUGCCUACAGUAAUCAACUUAUUCCACUAUCCAGGUUGCAUCACUUUUGAUUGCAAAACACCCAGGUUUAUUAUACAUGGAUUUGCUAGCAAAAUAGCAGCAAUUGAUGAACUUGGUGUUGUUGUGUAAAGAAACAACGAAAAGUAUAUAUCAAUCAAUCAAUAGUAUAUAUCAAUCGAUCUCCAAAGAAAGUAGCUACAUGUGCGGACAACAUGAAACUUCAGACUGCAGAAAAUUUCACAAUCCGUUUUCAAAAUUUAUGUCACAGAAGUGGUAUUUAAAAGGACAUAUGUGACAACUGAAUGGUACCUUUUGUAAAUUUUUUGGCCAGGGGUGGGUAUUUAUUUUUU